GUGCUCACUUCAGCAGUACAUGUACUAAAAUUGGAAUGAUACAGAGAGGAUUGGCAUGGCCCCUGCACAAGGAUGACAUGCAAAUUCGUGAAGCAUUCCAUAUUUUA